rnacentral:rRNA from 1 species
AGUCUAGCAUGUGCGCGAGUCAUUGGGAAUUAAUAAACCUAAAGGCGCAAUGAAAGUGAAAGUCUGUUUACGCGGACUUAGGGAGGAUAGGUGCGUACACAUUGUGUACAACCUCGCACUCCCGGGGCGUCUCGCACUCAUUGCGAGGUGGGGCGCACCAAGAGCGUACACGCUGGGACCCGAAAGAUGGUGAACUAUGCCUGGUCAGGACGAAGUCAGGGGAAACCCUGAUGGAGGUCCGUAGCGAUUCUGACGUGCAAAUCGAUCGUCGGAACUGGGCUUAGGGGCGAAAGACUAAUCGAACCAUCUAGUAGCUGGUUCCCACCGAAGUUUCCCUCAGGAUAGCUGGCACUAGAUUAUGGAUGAGUCUCAUCCGGUAAAGCGAAUGAUUAGAGGCAUUGGGGUCGAAACGGCCUCAACCUAUUCUCAAACUUUAAAUGGGUGAGAUCUCCGGCUUGCUCGAUUUGUGAAGCCGGAGAUCGGAUCAAUUAGUGCCAAGUGGGCCACUUUUGGUAAGCAGAACUGGCGCUGUGGGAUGAACCAAACGCAGAGUUAAAGCGCCAAAAUCGACGCUUAUGGGAUACCAUGAAAGGCGUUGGUAACUUAAGACAGCAGGACGGUGGCCAUGGAAGUC